rnacentral:rRNA from 1 species
UACGAAGGGGGCUAGCGUUGCUCGGAAUCACUGGGCGUAAAGCGCACGUAGGCGGAUUUGUAAGUCAGGGGUGAAAUCCCGGGGCUCAACCUCGGAACUGCCUUUGAUACUGCGAGUCUUGAGUCCGAUAGAGGUGGGUGGAAUUCCUAGUGUAGAGGUGAAAUUCGUAGAUAUUAGGAAGAACACCAGUGGCGAAGGCGGCCCACUGGAUCGGUACUGACGCUGAGGUGCGAAAGCGUGGGGAGCAAACAGG